UGGGGUGUGGCUCAUCAGGUAGAGUGCUUGCCUAGCAUGCAUGAAGUUGUGGGUUCUAUUCCCAAUACUACAC
rnacentral:tRNA from 1 species